rnacentral:tRNA from 1 species
UUCCUGGUAGCUCAGCUGGUAAAGAAUCUGCCUGCAAAACAGGAGACCCUGGUUUGACUCCUGGCUUGGGAA